rnacentral:lncRNA from 1 species
GUGGAUCCAACCAUCCCAGUUUGGAGGACAAAACUCACAUCAAUGAAUGGAAAUGAAAAGAACCUUUCUUGAACUUGUGACUUGGAGACCCUGAUCCCAAACUUACUGACGUGCAUCAUUGCCCUGGAUGGGCUGGCAGGAAACGCGGUUGUGCUCUGGCUCCUGGGCUUCCAUGUGCCCAAGAACACAUUCUCUAUCUACAUGCUCAACCUGGCCAGACGGACUACCUCUUCCUCAGCGGCCACAUUAUACAUUCCCCGAUGUAAUUCAUCAGCACUUUCUCUUCCAUCUCCAUCUACUUUCCUAGCUUCUUCAAUGCUGUGAUGAUCCUUUCCUACCUUGCAGGGCUGAGCAUGCUAAGCACCAUCAGCAUCAAACACUGCAUAUCUGCCCUGUGGCCCAUCUGGUACCACUGCCGUCGCCCCACACACCUGUCAGCAGUCCUGUGUGCCCUGCUCUGGGCCCCGUCCCUGCUGCUUGCCUUCCUGGAAGGUUACUACUGUGCUUUUCUGUUUAAGAUUGGGGACUACAGUUGGUUUCAGACAUUUGAUUUCAUCACAGGCACGUGGCUGAUUUUUAAAUUUGUGGUUCUCUGUGGGUCCAACCUGGUUCUGCUAGUCAGGAUCCUCUGUGGCUCCCAGCAGAUGCCACUGAGCGGGCUGUAGAUGACCAUCUUGCUCACAGUGCUGGUGUUUCUCCUAUGCAGCCUGCCCCUUGGCAUUCAGUGAUUCCUGUUAUUCUGGACUGAAAAAACUUUCAUGUCUUCCUUUGUCAUGUUCUUCCAGUUUCAGUUGUCUGGUCCUCUCUUAAAGCAGUGCCAACCCCAUCAUUUACUUCUUCUUGGGCUCCUUCAGGCAGCGUCAAAAUAGGCAGACCCUCAAGCUGGUUCUCCAGAGGGCUCUGCAGGACAUGCCUAGGAUAGAUCACAGAGAAGGAUACUUUGCUCAGGGAAAGCUGGAGCUGUCGGGAAGUGGAUUGG